AGAGUUUGAUCCUGGCUCAGGAUGAACGCUGGCGGCGUGCCUAAUACAUGCAAGUCGAACGAGAUGUAGCAAUACAUCUAGUGGCGAACGGGUGAGUAACACGUGGGCAACCUGCCUAUAGGUGGGGGAUAACCGAGGGAAACCUUGGCUAAUACCGCAUGGUGAGUACUAAGGCAUCUUAGUACAAUAAAAGAUCCAAAUGGAUCGCCUAUAGAUGGGCCUGCGGCGCAUUAGCUAGUUGGUAGGGUAACGGCCUACCAAGGCGACGAUGCGUAGCCGACCUGAGAGGGUGACCGGCCACAUUGGGACUGAGACACGGCCCAAACUCCUACGGGAGGCAGCAGUAGGGAAUUUUCGGCAAUGGGGGAAACCCUGACCGAGCGACGCCGCGUGAACGAAGAAGGUCUUCGGAUCGUAAAGUUCUGUUACAAGGGAAGAACGACAGUAAGAGUGGAAAGCUUACUGUGUGACGGUACCUUGUGAGAAAGCCACGGCUAACUACGUGCCAGCAGCCGCGGUAAUACGUAGGUGGCGAGCGUUAUCCGGAAUUAUUGGGCGUAAAGAGUGAGCAGGCGGCAGUCAAAGUCUGGAGUUAAAACGUGUGGCUCAACCAUACGUUGCUUUGGAAACUAGACAGCUAGAGUGCAGGAGAGGUUAGCGGAAUUCCAUGUGUAGCGGUAAAAUGCGUAGAUAUAUGGAGGAACACCAGUGGCGAAGGCGGCUAACUGGCCUGUAACUGACGCUCAGUCACGAAAGCGUGGGGAGCAAAUAGGAUUAGAUACCCUAGUAGUCCACGCCGUAAACGAUGAGUACUAAGUGUUGGGAAACCAGUGCUGAAGUUAACGCAUUAAGUACUCCGCCUGAGAAGUACGUUCGCAAGAAUGAAACUCAAAGGAAUUGACGGGGGCCCGCACAAGCGGUGGAGCAUGUGGUUUAAUUCGACGCAACGCGAAGAACCUUACCAGGUCUUGACAUCCGGUGCAAGACACUAGAGAUAGUGGGAUAGUUAUGGCCGAGACAGGUGGUGCAUGGUUGUCGUCAGCUCGUGUCGUGAGAUGUUUGGUUAAGUCCAGCAACGAGCGCAACCCUUGUCCUUAGUUGCCAUCAUUAAGUUGGGGACUCUAAGGAGACUGCCGGUGUAAAUCGGAGGAAGGUGGGGAUGACGUCAAAUCAUCAUGCCCUUUAUGACCUGGGCUACACACGUGCUACAAUGGGCGGUACAAAGAGAAGCGAGACAGUGAUGUUAAGCAAACCUCAAAAAGCCGCUCUCAGUUCGGAUUGAAGUCUGCAACUCGACUUCAUGAAGCCGGAAUCGCUAGUAAUCGCGAAUCAGCAACGUCGCGGUGAAUACGUUCUCGGGCCUUGUACACACCGCCCGUCAAACCAUGAGAGUUGGCAAUACCCGAAGUCGUAGAGGUAACCCGCAAGGGAGCCAUGCGCCGAAGGUAGGGCUGAUGAUUGGGGUUAAGUCGUAACAAGGUAUCCCUACGGGAACGUGGGGAUG
rnacentral:rRNA from 1 species